rnacentral:rRNA from 1 species
ACGCUCGACACCUACGGGAGGCAGCAGUGGGGAAUAUUGCACAAUGGGGGAAACCCUGAUGCAGCAACGCCGCGUGAAGGAAGACGGUUUUCGGAUUGUAAACUUCUAUCGACAGGGACGAAGAAAGUGACGGUACCUGAAUAAGAAGCCCCGGCUAACUACGUGCCAGUAGCCGCGGUAAUCUGAGCGGGCUGGCAAGGC